GUGCCCACGGGAGUGGGCCGCAGAGAAUAGGCUCAAGCAACUGUUUAGCAAAAACACAGGUCUAUGCGAAACCGAAAGGUGAGGUAUAUGGCUGACGCCUGCCCGGUGCUGGAAGGUUAAGAGGAGAGGUUAGCGCAAGCGAAGCUUUGAAUUUAAGCCCCAGUAAACGGCGGCCGUAACUAUAACGGUCCUAAGGUAGCGAAAUUCCUUGUCGGGUAAGUUCCGACCCGCACGAAAGGCGUAAUGAUUUGAGCACUGUCUCGACAAUGCAUCCGGUGAAAUUGAAGUACCAGUGAAGAUGCUGGUUACCUGCGCCAGGACGGAAAGACCCCAUGGAGCUUUACUCCAGCUUGAUACUGGGAUUCGAUACUGUAUGUACAGGAUAGGUGGGAGACGUUGAGCAUAGAACGCCAGUUUUAUGUGAGUCGCUGUUGGGAUACCACCCUUGCAGUAUUGGAUUUCUAACCUGCACCCAUGACCUGGGUGGGGGACAAUGUCUGGCGGGGAGUUUGACUGGGGCGGUCGCUCCGAAAGGGUAUCGGAGGCGCUCAAAGGUUCCCUCAGAAUGGUUGGAAACCAUUCGAAGAGUGCAAAGGCAGAAGGGAGCUUGACUGUGACACCGACGGGUGGAACAGGUACGAAAGUAGGACUUAGUGAUCCGGUGGUAUAAAGUGGGAUUGCCAUCGCUCAACGGAUAAAAGCUACCCUGGGGAUAACAGGCUUAUCACUCCCAAGAGUUCACAUCGACGGAGUGGUUUGGCACCUCGAUGUCGGCUCAUCGCAUCCUGGGGCUGUAGCAGGUCCCAAGGGUUGGGCUGUUCGCCCAUUAAAGCGGUACGCGAGCUGGGUUCAGAACGUCGUGAGACAGUUCGGUCCCUAUCCGGCGCAGGCGGAGGAUAUUUGAGAGGAGCUGUCCUUAGUACGAGAGGACCGGGAUGGACGGACCACUGGUGUAUCUGUUGGCUAUCAGAGCCAUGGCAGAGUAGCCAAGUCCGGAAGGGAUAAACGCUGAAGGCAUCUAAGCGUGAAGCCCCCCUCAAGAUGAGAUAUCCCUCAGAAAUGAGUAAGACCCCUUGAAGACUACGAGGUAGAUAGGAAUGAGGUGUAAGCACAGCAAUGUGUUCAGCUGACAUUUACUAAUCGGUCGAGGGCUUGACCAA
rnacentral:rRNA from 1 species